rnacentral:rRNA from 1 species
UACGAAGGGUGCAAGCGUUACUCGGAAUUACUGGGCGUAAAGCGUGCGCAGGCGGUUUGCUAAGACAGGUGUGAAAUCCCCGGGCUUAACCUGGGAACUGCGCUUGUUACUGGCAGGCUUGAGUGUGGCAGAGGGGGGUGGAAUUCCACGUGUAGCAGUGAAAUGCGUAGAGAUGUGGAGGAACACCGAUGGCGAAGGCAGCCCCCUGGGCUAACACUGACGCUCAUGCACGAAAGCGUGGGGAGCAAACAGG